rnacentral:tRNA from 1 species
GGAGGUGUAACUCAGUGGUAGAGCACUUGCCUAGAGUAUACAAAGUCCUGGGUUCAAACUCCAGCACUUCCG